rnacentral:rRNA from 1 species
UACGAAGGGGGCUAGCGUUGCUCGGAAUCACUGGGCGUAAAGCGCACGUAGGCGGAUUGCUAAGUCAGGGGUGAAAUCCUGGAGCUCAAACUCCAGAACUGCCCUUGAUACUGGCGGUCUCGAGUCCGGGAGAGGUGAGUGGAACUGCGAGUGUAGAGGUGAAAUUCGUAGAUAUUCGCAAGAACACCAGUGGCGAAGGCGGCUCACUGGCCCGGUACUGACGCUGAGGUGCGAAAGCGUGGGGAGCAACAGGG